GCUCCUGGCCUCCCUUCCCCGGCGACUUCUCAGGUUCUUCUUCCUGUUCUGACACUACAGGGAAGUCCUAGACGUUGUGCUUUCCUCCCACGCUUGCUUCCAUCAAGGAUUAGAGCGCGUUCCCGCUGGUCUGGAACCAUCCAUUCCAGGUAGGGGAUCUUCCCUCCCGGGGACAUUGCGCUCUCCAAGCACCGGCCUGCGGCGCGCGCGGGGGACGGGCGAGGAGGCGGCACAGCCAGUGGAGUUCCAGUGGGCUCCCUGGAGGAGAAACGUUACUGAGCCGGGAAUCACUCGGGACGGAAAACCAAACAGGCCGCGUAUUUACUCACAGGAAAAGGCCAGACUUUGGUUGGACUUUGAGCCAUUUUGCUGCAGCAGCAACGGCUUUAUUUCCCUGGGGUGGCCACCAGCCGCCACCGCGGCUCGCGAGCUCCGGCUGGAAGGGGCCGCGCUGUGCUCCGCACAUUGCAGGCCGCGGUCGCUGUGUGGAGCUGCACACGCAGGAAACGGUCGCCGUGGAACGAAGCCCUUGGUCAACUUUCUCUAACAGUCUUUUUUAACAGAGGAUCUAUUAAAGGUUGUGAUUCUCUCUAAAACCGUGUUUGGGGAAUCCAUCUGACCUCACGGAGACACACAAACCUAAAAAGAGAGUAUCUGCUGCUUGAGGCUAAUUUUUAAGGGGGUCUUUUGCUUUUCAGUCCAUGUGAAAACGUUGCUUAAGGUUAUGGUAAAUGAAGUUUCCCUUUUCCUUAGACAAAUGUGGUGAAACACGUGCUUCUUUUUUCUGCAGAAACAAUACCUGUCGUGUGUGUUUCAGAAAAUGCCCCCUUUUUGUUAGAUGAUUAAAACAAACCCCCCGUGUGAGGGUUAUGCUAAUCAGGGGCUAUCCGUCCUUGUCAGCAAAGAAGCUUUUCUCUGCUGUAUUUAAUUCUAUGCUUACUAAGGUUGAUUUAAUUGAUUGUUUAAAUUAUUUUAUCAGGACAUACGGAAACAUGAAUAACCACAGAAAAUCAACACACCAAAUAAGAGCAUUUAAAUGAAGCACAGAGUACAAAGAUGUUGCUAAUUAAAAACAUAUGCACUUGAUUAUUCAGACCUAGAAGAACAGAUUCUUUUCUUCCUGAGCACUGAUUGAGUUUUAUGCGGUCUCUCUCAAUCUUUCUAUCCCCCUCCCUCUGUCCUGCCAGUAAAAGAAAACAGAAACAGUUGAUUAAUGUGAACUGACAGUCCCAGUAUGAUUAUGAUAGUUUGAUGUCUUUUCUUCAAGAAGCAAAA
ensembl:lncRNA novel transcript, antisense to SNTG1